GCCGGUGUGGCGAAACUCGGAAAACGCGCUGAACUUAAAAUUCAGUUCCCAAGUGGAUUGCCGGUUCGAGUCCGGCCAUCGGCACCA
rnacentral:tRNA from 1 species